GAUGAACGCUGGCUACAGGCUUAACACAUGCAAGUCGAGGGGAAACGACGGGGAAGCUUGCUUCCCCGGGCGUCGACCGGCGCACGGGUGAGUAACGCGUAUCCAACCUGCCUCUGACUGAGGGAUAACCCGUCGAAAGUCGGCCUAAUACCUCAUGGUAUCGUCUGCGGGCAUCCAACGACGAUUAAAGAUUUCAUCGGUCAGGGAUGGGGAUGCGUCUGAUUAGCUUGUUGGCGGGGUAACGGCCCACCAAGGCUACGAUCAGUAGGGGUUCUGAGAGGAAGGUCCCCCACAUUGGAACUGAGACACGGUCCAAACUCCUACGGGAGGCAGCAGUGAGGAAUAUUGGUCAAGGGGCGAGAGCCUGAACCAGCCAAGUAGCGUGCAGGAAGACGGCCCUAUGGGUGGUAAACUGCUUUUAUGCGGGGAUAAAGUGAGGGACGUGUCCCUCAUUGCAGGUACCGCAUGAAUAAGGACCGGCUAAUUCCGUG
rnacentral:rRNA from 1 species